rnacentral:rRNA from 1 species
AACGAACGCUGGCGGCAUGCCUAACACAUGCAAGUCGAACGAGACCUUCGGGUCUAGUGGCGCACGGGUGCGUAACGCGUGGGAACCUGCCCUUAGGUUCGGAAUAACUCCCCGAAAGGGGUGCUAAUACCGGAUAAUGUCUUCGGACCAAAGAUUUAUCGCCUUUGGGUGGGCCCGCGUUGGAUUAGCUAGUUGGUAGGGUAAAAGCCUACCAAGGCGACGAUCCAUAGCUGGUCUGGGAGGAUGAUCAGCCACACUGGGACUGAGACACGGCCCAGACUCCUACGGGAGGCAGCAGUGGGGAAUAUUGGACAAUGGGGGAAGGCCUGAUCCAGCAAUGCCGCGUGAGUGAUGAAGGCCUUAGGGUUGUAAAGCUCUUUUACCCGGGAUGAUAAUGACGGUACCGGGAGAAUAAGCUCCGGCUAACUCCGUG